rnacentral:rRNA from 1 species
UACGGAGGAUGCGAGCGUUAUCCGGAUUUAUUGGGUUUAAAGGGUGCGCAGGCGGGAUUUUAAGUCAGCGGUGAAAUUUUCAGGCUCAACCUGAACACUGCCGUUGAAACUGGGAUUCUUGAGUAUGGAUGAAGUAGGCGGAAUUCGUUGUGUAGCGGUGACAUGCUUAGAUAUAACGAGGAACUCCGAUUGCGUAGGCAGCUUACUAAGCCAUAACUGACGCUCAAGCACGAAAGCGUGGGGAUCAAAC